rnacentral:lncRNA from 1 species
GAUGUUCAGUUGGGUGGUGAAAGUAGUUCCUCAGCCUGCAGAAACUCUGGGAGGACGUGAAGGGGUUAAGACCAACGCCGCUGCACAGGAGGCCACAAAGAACAGAGAGGUGAAAGGGGCUCCAGUCAGAAAUGGAGAGGAAGCCUCUGUGGACAGUCAGAACAGCGCCGGAGUGAUGGGAUGGCUCUCUAACGGCUUCGUCAGCGCUCUGCCGCAGCCUCCAGGCUCCCCUCUGGUCAACAGGGCCGGCUCAGAGGUCAAGUCAGGAGAGAAUGGAGAAAGGUCUGGCGUAAUGGGCUGGGUCGCUCAGGGCCUGACUAAAGUGCUGCCUCAGCCUGACGACAAAUACAAACAAGUGGUCGACUCCACCGAGGAGCACACGGAGGUGUACGAGGUCGCCACGAUGCCAGAUUUUGAUCCUCUCCCGCACAUCCCCGUGGUGGAGGUCGUGUCCGAGGAUGAGGCGCCAGAAGUGGAGAGUUUGACUCCUCAGUUUCCUCCCAAGGUGGUGAAAUGGAUGAAGCAGAUAAUCCCUCAGCCAGCCACUCUGCCCCCUGGCGCCAUUCCUGCAGAACCUGCACCCAAAGCAUCCCGCUCCUCCCUUGACAAAAGUACAUCAGGUCUAGAUUUACAGUUGUGUGGAGGACAUUUUUCAGUUUGUCCAACAUCUUGUCUCUGUCCCCUGCAGUUCUGUCUCCACCACCUGAAUCCAUCAGUGGAAUCUCACUGGACACAGACAGCAAGUCCUCCAGGUAUGUCUGGAUUAGAGAACACCUUCGCUGCUGAAGCCUGGUGUCAACAAGACGCAGAUUUUACCCUGAAAAAAUCAACACAGGAUCCCAAAUCAUGA